rnacentral:lncRNA from 1 species
GGACGUUGGCUGCUGUCUUCUGACCCACCCUGUGUGACUUUGGCAUCUCCUGUGACCUCCCAGUAUGGGUCUUGGCUUCAUCCUGCCUCUUUGCCUUUCUGGCCCACCACCCCCAACUUGAAUCUCAGUCUCCAACAGUUGCCUGACCCCCAGACUCUGAUGACAGCCUACCUACUUGUUCUUCAGACCCUGAGCAGACUCACUGCCCAGACACACCAUACACGAGAACAUGAAAGGGUAUUUGAGUUUGGGGCCAUGUCAUAGGAUGCACCUUGAAAUGAGCCACGAAAUGUGCAGUCUAAUGGUCUCUGUUGAUCCAUUUGCUGUCUGUGAAACUCCAGAAGUCAGGUGGUAUUGUGUCUGACAUUCAUCGGUUCUUGGUCGCACUGACUUCAAAAAUUAAGCCAUGAUCUCUUGCGGUGACUGUCACCGUUCUUAAAAGAUGGUGUGUCCGGAGUUUGUUCCAUCAGAUGUUCAGAUGUGUCUGCAGUUUCUUCCUUCUGGUGGGUUCGUGGUCUCUGUGACUUCAAGAGUGAAGCUGCAGACCUUCAGGGAGAGUGAGAAGUCAAAGGUGAGGAACCAGAAAGAAGGGGAGUUGCUGGAGCCUGGCUGCAGACCCACCACCAGGUAAACCAACAGUAUACCCAUGCUGUAGAUGCCACCCGCCCAGCAGCCCUCAUCAUCACGGCCCAGAAUCACCUGAAACAGAUGAUCCUUCUUUUGAGCUACCAUCAGAAGGUCCACAGUACUAGCCCAGCACUACAUCACAAUGCCUACACAAUUCAUCUCACUUCAUCUCAUCAUGUAGACAUUUUAUCAUCUCACGUCAUCACAAGAAGGGUGAGUACAGUCCAGUAAGAUAUUUCGAGAGACACAGAGAGAGAAACCAUAUUCACAUAACUGUUAUUACAAUAUAUUGUGGUCAUUGUUCUAUUUUAUUAAUACCUAUUGUUAGUCUCUUACUGUGCCUAAUUUAUAAAUUAAAUUUUAUCACGACUAUGCCUCUAUAGGAAAAAUCAUAGUAUAUACAUGGUUCCGUACUGUCUGCAGUUUCAGGCCUCCACUUUGGAGGCUUGGACCAUACUUCUCUUGGGUAAGGGGAGACUACUAUACAAUGAGAAUCAAUUUCUAAAUUUUUCAAUUAGGUGUAUUUCUUUUUUUCUAAAAUUUUAUUGUGCCCAUUAUAGUUGAGUGUUUUUCUCGUUACAUUACAUAAACAUUUCUGUAAGUUAAAGCAUAAACAUAUCAUAUUUGAUAUGAUUUCUUUUCCAAGGCUAUGUUUUAUAUUUUGUCAUAUAUACAUUUAAAAUUUUUUCAUGUGAAAUCUGUUCAUCUCUUCCCUUGUGAUUUCUUCUUUCUCCUGUAGGCUAGAACAUUUUCCCUCUCCAGAGGUCUGAUAGAUAUCACAUACAAUUUUCUUCUUUUAUUUUUUAUGUGGUUUUAAACUUUACCUUUAACUUUCACAUUUAACAAAUAUUUAUUCACUAUGUGCUUGGUAUAUUGCUAGUACUUAUUUAGGUUCAAGGUAUGAUGUUAGGGAUGAUAAUUUGGAAAAUUAUUAUCAAACUACCAUUGUUAAUUCUCAGGUCUCAUAGGUCCUUUCUAUUAUUAUCCCUUACACCAUACCUUGAACCUAAAUAAUUUGGAAAUUAUCAUUCCUCUCCAAAAUUCUUAUUGACUGUGUUUGUGUGUGUUGUGUACGUGUGUGUGUAAAUCACUAACCAUUCCUCUAUGUUACUAUAUGUCUCUCCUGUUCAAUUUUGCUGUCUGUCUAGUUUCCGGCAGUAUUAUAUGCUUUUUUGUA